AGAUUAUGGAAGCCGCUUAAAUAAUUUUAUCGGUUUGUCUGCAUCACUGCAUUCAAAGAAAGCUAAUGUCAUUUCCAGCGGAAUUCGAGCUUGGUUAGCGACCGGACGAAACGGGGAGAUAUAUCUUUCCUUUUUCAAUCUGAGUUCUACAAAGAUGCUAAUAACUGCAAGAAUAUGGGAUUUGGCUGGGGUUCUUCCUCGCCAUUUCUUGAGGACAGGUUCAUGUAACUGCACUGAAGUUUGGAGUGGAAAGAAGUUCGGUGUGGUGAAACAGUUUUCG
rnacentral:misc_RNA from 1 species